rnacentral:lncRNA from 1 species
CUGACGUGGUCAGCAAGCUCCCAGGGUCACAUGAAGACUCGUUUACACAUUCUCACAAAAACACAAGGGAUAUGUCCUGCAUAUGCAGGAACAAAAAAGGAAGGAUGUGAUUUUGCUUCUUAUGCAUUUGAUAUUUUCCUGGGGUCCUGGAAAAGGAGGUAUUUCAGCAUGGAUUUGCAGAGGGACUUCUCACUUGUGUGACUGAGAGCAGGAAGGUCAGCUGUAGGUCAGCAUGGACUUUGGUCUAGGCUGUUAUUAUUCAGUGCUGUUCUUUCACGCUUCCAUUCCCAUACAAAGCUGAUUUCUGCAUGCAGCAGAUCUUUGCAUUCACAGAAUAUGCUCUUAAUGCAAAAUAAACUGGUCUGGUCUUUGGAGACUGAGAGCCUCAGCAGGGUGUGGGACAAGGAGAGAUGAAAGGAGACCUGGGAUGCUACAGGGAAGCAACAGGCCAAAGAGAGGGGCAGCUGCAUCAUUCUUAAAACAAGGCACCCUUGGAGACACGCUUCCCUACAGAAGUGGAGUUGCAGUGUGUUUCUGAGGCAUUUGAUGCUCCCUUGAGUGAGAUUGAUUUUGGGAAGAACAGCUGGAGGUUGGAGCAGGGGGCCAGAAGUCUUAUUUUUCUGGGAAGGAUCCUGAUUCUAGUCUGGAGACCAAGUGCAAAGUUUAGUUGGAAUUCCCUACAAAUUUUGGAAAUAUUCAAAAAAUUUCAUCAGUUCCUGUACUGUUUCAGGGCCAGUAUGGGGCUACGUAGGGCUCAUGUUGGCUGCAGUUUCUCACCCAGGAGGAGCUUCUUCACCCUGCUGAAUAACUUGCAGUGUGUAGCAGACCCAGAAUCUGAAAUGUAAGAGCAGCGGGUCAGGGGAGCGAGGGUUCAGUGGAGUAAACUGCUGUGGCCAGUCAAAGCUGGGACUCUGGAAGGGGUCACACGCUUGGGACUGUGCUGUGAGCUCCCACCCCAACAGUGGGAACAACUUUUGCAUAAUUCAGUUACACCUUGGAAGCAGUUAAAGCAAUUAAACAGCAAACUUGGCAUAAUUACUAGUUAAUAGUCAAAGCCAGUGCUCCUAAAGUGUAAAUUGUUUUGGUAUUGAUCUAAGCUUACACUGUCAGCAUUUUGUAGAGACUGAACUUUAAGUGCUUAAUUCAGCUGUAUGCAACCAUUAAUUUUGUUUUUUAUCUGCAAACAAAGGUGCAAGUGGUUAUUCUAUUUUUCUGCAAUAAUAAAAUCAAUUAAACUGUUUUCCCCCA